GGAAGGAGGAAGGAAGGAAGGAAGGAAGGAAGGAAGGAAGGAAGGAAGAAAAGAAGGAAAGAAGGAAAGAAGGAAAGAAGGAAAGAAAAAGAAAAAAGAGAGGAAGAAAGAAAGAGAAAAGGCAAAUGAACGCCCCGCAAAGCCAAUCUCAGGGCGCAGUCAGGGCGGUCACCCAGGCACGCAGCGCUGUCGGGUCAGAGCGGCGCGGCCCCAUCCCGUCCCAUCGGGAGGUGCCGCUCACCGCAUCCCUCCGCACCGCCAACCGGGGGAGAAAAGCCCCGAACACCGCGUUCCAUAUUUCGAGGAGUUCUGCGCGCUUUCGGGGGGUUGAAAUUUCGCUUUGAUGUUUUAUUGCCUCUCUCAUCUUUUCCUGGAGAGAGGAACCGGCGCUGUGUGAGCACCCCGUACCCCCAGCCCCCCUUACCCCCGGGCAGGGCCACAAACGAGAACUGCCAUUUCACACCGAUUUCACACCGAUUUCACACCCAUUCCACCCAUUUCACACCCAUUUCCCCGGGGUUGCCCCGCUCCGCUGCUGCCCCGCGGCUCCGCGCAAAUUGCGCGCCCGCUCCGCGCCUCCUCUGCCUGCGGUCGGUCCCGCAUUCGCUCGGCCGGCUCCGUAGGUGGCCGUGUAUAUUUUUGUUGAAGUAGUGUUUAUGUUAAUGAAAAAGUCUGAGAUUACAAACAGACCACUGAACGCCCGGGAUGUUGCUGCCGGAUUGGUCUACGUUGUGUAUUUUAAACCUAAUCAGGAGCAAAUAUGAUUUCCCCCCCCCCCCUCCCGUGUAUGUGUGUGUGUGCAUUAUUUUUAGCAGAAAGACGUACGGGAUGUUUGGGGAGCCCCGUGCCACCCCUGUCCCUUUACCCAGUGAUUUCGGAGCUAUGUUUUUCCCUGUGUGGCUGGGGAGGGAGUGGGGAUGCAGGAAGAGGUGUCAGAGCAGCUAUCCGAGAAUUACCCCCAGAACAACGAAAACGAUCCCAUUGCUCCUGGAAAGGGAAAGGAAGGGCUCAGCUCACCCCCCCCGAGCUCCCUCCGACCCCAUAGAGGGGUUUCCAUGCGCCGGUGGCAAACGGGUGCGCGUCCCUAAAGCCUCGCCUAAGGGAUGGGGUAUCCUUUCCUUUGGGUAUUUUCUUUGCCGGGAAUUGCUGGGCACAACCUGAAAUUUGCAUCAAAAACCCCUUCUAAUUCGGCAGUGAAAAAUGCCAUUUACAAUUUGCCACAUGAAAAAAAAAAUAGAUAAAUAGGCAGAUAUACUGAUAGAUUUCAGCCCUUGUAAAUGCCAAGUGUGCAGCAAUCAGUUCAUCCAUUGCUUAAAAGUGGAGGUCCGGAGAGCUUUUGGGUUUUUCUUUCAGGAGGGAGCUGUGAUUUUCUUUGAUUUCAGAGCCUUUUGGGGUCCCUUUGAUUCCGGUUUCCUUAACAAAAAAAAUCACUUCUGGAACCCCCUCAGCUGCUCCUAUCUCCCCUUCCGUUGCUGUGCUGGUGAAGGUUCAAAGAAAAUAACCCGAUUUUUGCAGACGUUCCUCUGCUGAUCGAUCACUCCCAGCACAGAGGGAUGCAUUUGGGGUCCCGGCAAAAGGGUUUCUCCCCCUUGACAGCUUUGCAAGCAACAGUGAGGCGGCUUUGGCAUCGCCUUCCUUCCCAAUAUUUGCCUUUUGUGGGCAAAAGCUGUCGGUGGAGCAGAGCUCUCCGGCACGGCCAGCCGGAGGAUUUGUGCACUCCGAUGUUUUACUACUGUUAUGAUUCCUCAUUGACUGAAAGUACAAAGAAAAUCGCCGUGUAAACAAGUCGCCGUCUGAAGGGGAUGUGGGCGAAAUUCGGGGCAAGCAGAACCUCAGCAGGGAUUUAAGGGAAGAAGGGAAACAAGGGGAAAACACGACAAUCCUGUGCAAGGUUUUCUCUAUGCAAUGGCAGUAUCACUUCGGAGCUGUGCAGGGUUUUUUUUCCCCAUGUUUCAUGGGGCAGAGGAGAGCCCUAAAGUGGUUUUUUCUCCCUGAGAAUAUCUGGAUGGCAUCAGUCUGUCUCCCCACAGAAAGAAGUAGGUUCCAGCAUGAGGCUUAGGGGGUUUCUUCAUUCUCCCACCUGGAACUAGCAGUUUUUUUUUCCAUGAAACUGUAUUUUUUGCAUUCUUCCUUUUGAGGGGGUCAAUCCCCCCCCUUUUCUUUUAACCUAGCAACAUUAAGCAACGCUGCAGAGGGAUUGUCAACACUACAGCAUUUGGCUUUGGGGAUAACACCACUGCUGUCAGAGCCAAGGUAGGCCCUGCAGAGGUGGGGAGCAGCAGGAUGGAGGUUGAUGCCCCCCCCAGCGCUUGCCCCCAGUUGCUCACCCCAUGGGCAGCCCCCAUGGGGUGACCCACUGAAGGACGGGGACAGGGGAUUGUCCCCACCAUGGCACACACAUGCAGACAUGUGCACACACAUGUGCACGCGUGUUCACGCGCACACCCUCCUCUAACCCCGCAUCCGACCACGCCGCUCCCGAGCAGCGCUAAUGAUGCCGCAGCACCAGCGAUGCGGUGCGAGGCAAAAAGCAGAUGAAAGUGAUGUCACAUUAAUGUCAGCUCACAACUCGAGCCCACACAGCCUUGAUUGCUCUUAUUAAUCUUGCCAAUUUGUCUGUCAGCACUCAACUAAUCCCUAAAUAGCCUCCCAACAGGUGCUUUAUGCUUCCGCCACAUCGCUGCUCCCCGGCAUCCCCCACCCUUCCCCCCCGAGCCCCGGAGCCCUCCUCGGUGACACCGUCUCUCUCCUGUCCAUCUGGGAGCAGCUCCUUCCCCGGGAGGGCUGGAGGGAGAGAGGCGGCUUUGCAGAUGUUGUUUAGUCUGUGCACAGAGGGCGCGGAGCUGGGGGCUUCCAAAUGGAAGCGAUGGGAGGCGGGGAGGGGAUGCUGGAGAAAAUCACCUUGGGUUGGGUGGGGGUAAAUGGGGGAUGAAUAACACCCCCCCCCCCCCAACCUGGAGUUUGCUCACAUCACUGUGAAUAUCUGCACUUAUAGCACACGAUGGUUGCAUUGCUUUUAUGUAUCGCUGGCUUGUUGGUUUUAUUGAGAGGGGAGGAAAGCGUAGCGCAAAACCGAAGCUGCAGUGGAAAAGCCACAUUACACCCUGAGCAGCUUUAUCCUGCAAUUAAGCUGAGGGUCAAACAUUUCCUUUGCUGUGCUAUCAGAAAAUCCACUGGCUUAUUGCAGUGUAUAUUUAGCUGUGAAGUUCCCGCUGAGCUCAGAGUGGAAGGCUGAAAUUAUUGUGCUCCAUCCUCCCAGCACUCUUAUUUAGCACAGUAGUUUUAAACACAGGUUUUGCAUGCAGGAAACCCUACGAACCACUAAAGUGGAGCCUAAGCUGCUUUCCUGCAUUAAAAUAAAAAAAAAAAAAGAAAGAAAAAAAGGGAUAUAUAUACAUGUAUUUUGGUUUGGCAGCUCGCUGCAUGGAGCAGCUCGCACGCAGCCUUCAGCCCCAUGCACUGCAGCUCACCUGGAGGAUGCUGUGCUCUGCAGGAGGAGCUGCCAAACCCGGCUCUGCUGGAGCAGGCUCCAGUUUUACAUCCGAAGUUGGCUCAGGCUGCUUCCAGCCCUGCGCUCAGCACUGCAGGAAGGAAGCUUUCAGGGCAUCCUCCACUGCUCUUCCAAGAGAUUCACCAAGGGGAGCCUACCCGCUGCUAGCGCUUGGGGCUGCUCAUCAUUAACCCUUGGGUGCUUCAGAUCAGGUCCUGAAAGCCCUCUAAAAACACCAUUUGCAACCUCAAGCCGUUUCCCUCUAUCCUGACCUGGGUUUAUUAUCGGGAGACAGAUAGAUUUUUCCUUCUUUCUCCCCAUCCAUUUAUUUCAACCAAUAAGACGAUCCAUCACGGCGAGCUGGAACCGACCUACGAUCCGGGGAUAUUCUUAGAUACUCAGCAUGUCAGGAAACGGCUCACAGCCCCACUUGAUGCAAAUAUUUGGACGAGCGAGAGGUUUCUGGCCAGCAGCUCCAAGGACUGUCACAGCCAUGUUGUGCGUUUGGGAACGUCAUGCAAUGGGGCUUUAACUGUGAAUGGAGGACAUCCUGGCCCCACUAUGAGUGGGAUAAGAACAACUCUCACCUCAAGGGGUGCACUGAUGACAGAGCCAGCUCCCACCAUCUGUGGAUUUCCUCAUCCUGGCAGCUCAGUGGGGAGCAGCAGGUCCUAGCUAAAUGCCUUGUGGUCCAGAUGCCAUGGACCAUCCCCCCUGGAUUCAAUAAGAGCAGUGCCCCUACAACACCAUGGUGAGCAGUUGCAUGGAGGUUUGAGCCAUCCCAGGGUGGAGAUCACCUUCUCCAUCCCCACAUUUGCCAUAAGCCCAAACCCAGCCCCAUCACAUGCAAUGAUAAAAAGGGAACUGGCAGCACAAAACUCAUCGUGAUUUCCAGGCUGAUGUCUGCACAGCCCUACUGGCUUCUCCGAAAGAACCAAGAGACACAAACCUGUUCUGUCCUAAGGUUUCCCAUUAAGCUAAUUACUGCUAAUUGUACCACUUGGCUAUCUCACCAACCGCACCCUGAGCAGGGCUGAUAGGGUAUCAGUGAGAUAAGAAGCACUCGAAUAGCACAGGUAACAGAACUUUGGGAGGGGUUAUCACCCCUACCACCCUCCUUUGGGGGACACUGAGGUCAUAAGGAUGUGUGCAGGGGCUGGCACACAACUAUUAGCCUUUCAGGAAAUGCUACCGAGGGGUUUUGGUGACUGUUCUCUGCAAGUUGCAGAGAAGCAAGCUGGCAUUCAUUUCAUAGUAAUUCCUUUAAAUUCACUUAGCAUGCGGAUUAUUUGUAUGAGCUGUUUUUGUUGCGUUAACACAACACUGUGGAAAUGGAGGUUUCAUUAUUUCUCCAUUUUUUCCCCCCUCCCACAGAGAAAUAAAUGCUGUUCUUUUAACAAAUGCUGUAUUUCUCACUUCAUUUCUGAUUUCUCCCCAUCUCUGCUGGCCUACCUGAAGCAAUUCAGCUCCCACACUGGCACUAGGUAGGGAUUACUAUCACCUGCUUACUAAAGAAGAGACUUGGACAAGGUGCUCUUAUUUGAAAACAUUUUUGGUACAUGACUUGCAAUAAGAUACUUGGAAUUUUCACACUCAGAGACAUAUUUUGUUAGGUGUAUUGUCUCCCCAGCACAUGCAGCUUCUGGCUGUGAGUAUAUAAAAGCACAUCACAUCUGGCAGGUAAAACACACUGGCCACAUCAACACCUACAUGUUGUCUUGCACUCGUAUGUUUCAGAGCUUGCUGAUGCAACUACUGCACUUCAUAGAGGCAGGUGUGCUACACAGCUUGGCUGAACUGGGCAACUCAUGGCUGAGUCCCCUCACCCGAGGCUUGGGAUGUUGUUCAUGUCCAUUGCUCCAUGUAUAAGAGCAACACUGGAAGUCUGGAAAGCCAGUUAGGCAGACAGACAGACAGGACAUUUUCUUCUGUAAGGUACCCUGAUCAUCUGCUCUUCCUUUCAGAGCCUGGUCUGCAUUCACAUUGGUUUAAGUUACCCGAGUUUCUCAUUGUCCUACAGUGAAGCUCAUAACAAAGCCUGUGGCCAGCUCUUUCUUCGAUAAUUCCUUUCCCCCAUUUGUUUAUCUCAAGUAGUGAGCUUUGUUCCAGGCCCAAAACCAAAAGCCUUUCUACCCUGUUCUCUCCUUGACUUGUUGCAGAUGUAACGAAAUAAAUCUUUAGCAAGAACAAACCUUCACUUCCUCUCUCAGUCACAAACCCCAGGAAAGAAAAAUAAAUCACAACGUGAGCUCACCCGCUCUCGGAGGAUACCACGUUACUCCUGAAGGCCACCACUCAAACUGGAGGUGUCCGUCCCUCAGAGAGAUCAACGAAUGCAGCAAAUUAAUGAGCAGCAUCAGCCCAAGCUUUGACAUGAAACCAGCCCUGAAAACAAAGCCAUGUGCAGUGCCAUGAGCCAGGCAAUCCUAAUUCUCCAUGUUACCUUCCCAUUCCGUGGCCUGUUGGUGGGACAAAGAGUUGGUACCCAUGAAAUCACCAUUUUAAGUGUGGCCAAAGUCAAGAGCGGAUAAAAGCCUGCCACGAUCAGUCUGAAUCACGGUUGAUGUGAUGGCCAGCGAUGGUCAGGAGUGGGACUGUGCUGCUGGUGUGCUCCCAGCAUUCAUCCCUUGGGCACUGAGGGCCAAUGAGUAUCUCUGGCUCAUCCCAAAACUCUGCCCCUCGUCUCCCCUAAUCCACCUAAUGCCUUUUCAACUGGAACCGGAAAAAGCAGCAGCAGGGUGUGUUUGUUUUUCUCAAUUGGCCGUGGCAAAGAGGUAGAAAUACACCUCCAAAUAGCAUUUCCUCCUCUCCUGAGAGAAGUCUCCGUAUGAGAGCUGUGUUGCUCAGGAAGCCUCAAACCAUCUCUGAAUGUGACCAAAUUAUAACAGCUGUGUCUCCGGUUGACACAGGUCUAAGAUAAAGACGGAUUGACUUUAAGCUGGGAGUACAAAACUGCACAGAAGCAGCGAUGUGGAUUUACACCAGAUCGCUUUUAUUCCUUCAAGGAUACUCAGGGGGAGAUGAACCAUAAGAUACCCACAAAUCGUGCUGAAGUCAGAAGACAUUUGGCCCAGACACUUCAGGGGGCUGAAAUGAGACUUUCCUCCUCCUUCUUCUUCUUUUUUUAAACAAGAGAUCUUUGCAGUUUUGAAACAAUCCGUACAGUUAGCAUUGAAGAAAGUGUAAUUAGACACUUGGAGGACUGGAAGAAAUUAACUCCAACCACAGGCUGUCACUCAGACCAUUAUUUAAUUAUUCUCCCCAAAUGUGCAAAGCACUUAGUUUUAGAAUAACAGGAAAGAAGUCUAACUCCUCACCAACAGCUCAGUCUCUGGAUGGGGACACAUGCACAUAAAGCCAAUGGGCUCCCAAGCCAUAGGAUGGGGACAGGAACAAGCGCCUUGGGCACAACUUUGGGCUCUGAAGGAUGUGAUUGAUGCCUGAAUGGCUGGAACCCAGUCAACGGGAGUGCCCAGCCCAAGGUGCAACAGGCUGCGGGAGAGAAGAUCGCCUUCAGUUUCCAACAUGCCAAGGAAACCACUGAGAAAUUGCUGUUUUCCUUCUUCUGCAGCACCGGGCAGAGCCGUUGACUCACCCCUCGCUACAGAAGCCUGGCUAGAAAGAGAUUAUUGUGAUUUCUGACUGUUUCUUUCCUAACUACAAAAGGCCCCAUUCAUCUGGGCUAAUUUUGACGGGAGAGCAAGGGGUAUCAGUAGCAUGAACUGUAUCUGAGCGUCUCGACCGCAUUUCAGCAAGCCAUCCUUGUUGGCCAGUUCCAGCCAGUGAAAUGGAUAUCCUCCAUUUCAAGCUUUUUAGUGGAUCGUUUCUCUGGUUCUAAACAGAGGUAUCUUUUCUGGCCGUGGCAAGUUUGAGAAGUACUGACGAAGCAGAGACGGCCAUUUUCAUGGCAGGAACAAGAGGCCAUUUAAAAAGGGGGAAAGGGCUGUUCUGCUCGAUCAGUGCACCAGCAUUUGUCUACCUACAUGCACCAUGCAUGUGCACCGAGGCUGGGCCCAGAACAGUGAAUCUCUGCCUUAUUUCCAAGGUCUGAACAAAACAUACUUUUAUUUUUAUUUUUUGAAAAUGCUAAAUUUGCUUAAUUGCGAGCCUUUGUGGAGCUCAGCUGGGACUGCCUGCGUGUGUGGGAAGGGCUGGAACGUAAUUGCUUUCAGCAGAUAUCACUGUAGUCUGUAAUUAAAACAUAUGAGGCUGCCAGCUUCAGAUUUUCUAAGUGAUUUCAUCUGUAUUUGGGUGAUCACCUCUCUCUGAGAGGCUCAUAUUAAAUGAUAUUUCAAGUUCCAGUGCACCAAAUGGGUGAAAAACAAUUUUGUCCUCUCCUUCUUGUAGUCUCCAAGCAAGUCACCUAGGCAGCUUGGAGAGGCAGAGCUCAGACCUCAUACGCACAUCCCUUCACCAGGGAAAUGCUUGGUGAAAGCUGCUCAAGAAGUGCUGCUCCAGAGACAGAGCGGAAGGUGUUGAUAAAGCUUGUUAAAGAAAAAGGAAGGGGGGAAAAAAGGCUAACAAAAAAAAUCUGGCACCUCCUAAAUCAGAGUGACAAUUUCAGUGCAGUGUUUACAUGAGGUAGUAAAAAUAAAUUGCCUGAGACUGAUUAUACCCACAUGGCACUCUAAAGGCAACAGGGAUGUCCCCCAGUAUCAGAAACCCAACACGGGGGAAAUACGUGAUGAUGGCAACCCUCAGCCCAUUGGGGCCAGCACUGCUUUGUUACUUGCCUCAAUAGGUGGAAGCAGCAGUGAGAAGAGGGAUCUGCAACUCCCCACAGAUAGACAUGAUCGCCCCAGGAGCCAUGGUUGGCUUACAAGGCCACUGCUGUUGAGUCCUACAAGGGCUGUAGACAAAGGAGCGUGUGGGUUUGGGGCAUCCUCAAGCUUGGACAACAUACGCCUGCUGGAUCAAAAUGGGUAAUGGAAGAAGGCAAAGAUGAUAGCAUCACUGUUAGAAUUGUAAUGAGUCACAAAUGCUAUUUUGAUGGUUUUCUUUGAAAGACAUGCACAAGAGCCAACCGAUGUAAUUGAAGAUCUCCAAGGCUUUGUAAUCAGCACGGCCACAAACGAAGGCAAACCUACUUUCAUGUGGUAGAAUACAAGAGGAGGUUCCCCA
ensembl:lncRNA